rnacentral:misc_RNA from 1 species
UACAGAGGUGCCAAGCGUUGUUCGGAUUUACUGGGCGUAAAGGGUGCGUAGGUGGUCAGGCAAGUCGAAUGUGAAAUCCUGCAGCUCAACUGCAGAACUGCAAUCGAAACUGCAAGACUAGAGGGCUGGAGAGGAGAUUGGAAUUCUCGGUGUAGCAGUGAAAUGCGUAGAUAUCGAGAGGAACACCAGUGGCGAAGGCGGAUCUCUGGACAGCAUCUGACACUGAGGCACGAAAGCCAGGGGAGCAAACGGG